GGCUGGUCCAAUGGUAGUGGGUUAUCAGAACUUACUAACAUUAGCGUCACUGAAGUUGGUAUGCAACCUCCACUGCUAAAAAUCUGACUGGCUUAAA
rnacentral:Y_RNA from 1 species